UAAUAGCUUUUAUUAUUAGUAACCCCUGCUCAAUGAAUAUUAAAUAGCCGCAGAUCAUCUGUGCUAAGGUAGCAUAAUCAAUUGCCUUAUAAUUAAAGGCUAGUAUGAAAGGGUGAGCAUGUUAACACCUUUAUUUUUUCAGUAUCUUGAAAUUUCUGUAAUGUAAAAAAGCAUUAACUACAAGAGGGACAAUAAGACCCUGUCGAACUUUACAAGAGUUUAACUGGGGCGGUUUAAAAACUAUAUCUUUUUUAAUCAUGUAUUAAUAAUAUAUCUUAAACAAGUUACCGCAGGGAUAACAGCAUAAUUUUUUUUUCAAAGUCCUUAUUUAAUAACAAGAUUGUGACCUCGAUGUUGAAUUAUUAGUCUGGGGGGAGCAAGAUCUUCUUAAGAAAGUCUGUUCGACUUUUAAAUAUUU
rnacentral:rRNA from 1 species